rnacentral:ncRNA from 1 species
GAGCCGUACGGUGAAGGGCUAGCCACCCACACCGGCCGCGAGUCAUGCGUCUGGCCUCCGCGAGGGUGUAGGCGAAGCGUUGACAGGGGUACAUGCGGGCUGAGUAUUGAGCCGCGAAAGAGUAUGCAUCCGAGGCGCCGACCCUGUGGGUCAAUGGGGAAGGCAACACGGGCGGGCGCGCGUUGGCGAGUGCCCGGACCGGUCUCGCGUGGUCGUAGACC